GGCAUGGGAACAUGUAGGAAGG
rnacentral:miRNA from 1 species